AUGCCUCUCUAAAAAGAAUUGCUAUAGCUAAUGUUUGCUCUCACACAGAGUUCUCUCUGGAAACAUCUGAAUUUGUUUCAUUUCUAGAUCUGCAGUUUACUGUCUACACCGCUUUGGACAAGCUAACUCAUCCUUGCCUUGUGUAAAAUGUGGAGACUGGAUGAGACGACGUCAUAGGAUCCCAGGUUUGACAGAUGAAGACUCUAAGACCCAGAGGGGGGGAGGCACUUGCAAAGGAAAAUGAAAUGUGAACU
rnacentral:lncRNA from 1 species